AACGGCCGUACCAUGCUGAAUAUACCGGUUCUCGUUAGAUCACCGAAGUCAAGCAUCAUUGGGCGCGGUCAGUACUUGGGUGGGUGACCACCUGGGAGCACUGCGUGUCGUU